GUGGGGAAUAUUGCGCAAUGGGGGCAACCCUGACGCAGCAACGCCGCGUGAGUGAUGAAGGUCUUCGGAUCGUAAAGCUCUGUCAGCAGGAAAGAUGGCAUCUCCGGCUAACACCCGGAGGCGUUGACGGUACCUGCGAAGGAAGCACCGGCUAACUCUGUGCCAGCAGCCGCGGUAAGACAGAGGGUGCAAGCGUUGUUCGGAAUCAUUGGGCGUAAAGGGCGCGUAGGCUGUCUUGUAAGUCAGAUGUGAAAUCCCGGGGCUUAACCCCGGAAGGGCAUCUGAUACUGCUCGACUGGAGUCCUGGAGAGGGUGGUGGAAUUCCCAGUGUAGAGGUGAAAUUCGUAGAUAUUGGGAGGAACACCGGUGGCGAAGGCGACCGCCUGGACAGUGACUGACGCUGAGGCGCGAAAGCGUGGGGAGCAAACAGGAUUAGAAACCCGUGUAGUCC
rnacentral:rRNA from 1 species